UACGGAAGGCAGCAGUGGGGAAUAUUGCACAAUGGGCGCAAGCCUGAUGCAGCCAUGCCGCGUGUAUGAAAAAGGCCUUCGGGUUGUAAAGUACUUUCAGUCGUGAGGAAGGUGUUAAGGUUAAUAACCUUAGCAAUUGACGUUAGCGACAGAAGAAGCACCGGCUAACUCCGUGCCAGCAGCCGCGGUAAUACGGAGGGUGCGAGCGUUAAUCGGAAUUACUGGGCGUAAAGGGCACGCAGGCGGUUAAUUAAGUUGGAUGUGAAAUCCCCGGGCUUAACCUGGGAAUGGCAUUCAAGACUGGUUAGCUAGAGUCUUGUAGAGGGGGUAGAAUUCCAUGUGUAGCGGUGAAAUGCGUAGAGAUGUGGAGGAAUACCGGUGGCGAAGGCGGGCCCCUGGACAAAGGACUGACGCUCAUGUGCGAAAGCGUGGGGAGCAAACAGGGAUUAGAUACC
rnacentral:rRNA from 1 species